ensembl:miRNA
UAGGUUGGUGCAAAAGUAAUUGCGGUUUUUGCCAUUAAAAGCUAUAGCAAAAACCACAAUUACUUUUGUGCCAAUGUAAUA